GACGAACGCUGGCGGCGUGCUUAACACAUGCAAGUCGAACGAAGUGGCGAACGGGUGAGUAACGCGUAAUCAACCUGCCCUUCAGAGGGGGACAACAGUUGGAAACGACUGCUAAUACCGCAUACUGAAGGAGGGGAUUGCGUCUGAUUAGCUAGUUGGCGGGGUAACGGCCCAACAAGGCGAUGAUCAGUAGGCGGGCUGGGAGGAUUGACGACCCAAUUGGGACUGAUGCAACGCCCAGACUACUACGGUGGGCAGCAGUGGGGAAUCUUCCGAAAUUGGGGAAAGUCUGAAUGAGCAACUCCGCGGGAGUGAUGACGGGCUUCGGGUUGUAAAGCUCUGUUAAUCGGGACGCGGUACCGGAAUAGAAAGCCACGGCUAACUACGUGCCAGCAGCCGCGGUAAUAC
rnacentral:rRNA from 1 species